CCAUAUUUCAUUGAAACACCGGUUCCUGUAUGAUCAACAAAAUUAAGCAAUGUCAAGUCUGAUCAGUACUUAGAUGGGUGACUGUUUGGGAAUACCAGGUGCUGUAAG